GCGUUGGUGGUUCAGUGGUAAAAUUCUCGCCUGCCUCGCGGGAGACCGGGGUUCGAUUCCCCGCCAACGCA
rnacentral:tRNA from 1 species